rnacentral:lncRNA from 1 species
AUUCUGUUUCUCCGACCAUUUCUGAAAUUUUAAAAUAAUCGAUUAACACAGACCGAUAAUCGAUUAUCGUACCUCUGUAGCUCAAGAUAAUCGAUCAUCGUUCACGAUAAUCGAUUAACUAACGGCCAGAUUUCAAAAUUUUACCGUUUUAGAGCCGUUUGAACCUUAUCAAAUCAGAUUUUUUCACUCAAAACACUCUCAUUUUUCACCUCUAUAAAUAGGGAAGUCUUCCACUCAAUUUAUUCAAUCACAACUCUAUUCUAUUCAUCUUAUCAAAUCAGAUUUUUUUCACUCAAAAACUCUCUUUUUUUUACCUCUAAAAAUAGGGAAGUCUUCCACUCAAUUUAUUCACUCACAACUCUAUUCUAUCCACAAAACUCUCUCCAAAAGCUUCAAGAAGUCUUCAAAAUUCUCUUUAGCUUCCUGUUAUUAUUCACAUGGCCAAUAGAAAUACCAAGCGAUCUCGUGCCGGAAAGAACGUUGCUUCUUCUUCAAAUGUCCCUCAAGAUGUAUUUUGCUACCAAGAUGGCUCUUUUCUAAAAUUUGAACAAGAAAGUGAACUUCGACGCUUUCUUCAAAAAUUUGAAAAUAGGGAAAUUCUUCCACCCCGUUUUACAACGGCUAGAUAUCUUUCCGACUCCGCUCAUUCAACUAUUCUUCUUCAAAGCCAAAUUGUCAAUUUUGCUUAUCUUUCAUAUUCUUACAUUCAUCCUCAUUUGAUUCGGGCUUUUUAUUCAAAC